CCUACGGGAGGCAGCAGUGGGGAAUAUUGCACAAUGGGGGAAACCCUGAUGCAGCGACGCCGCGUGAGUGAAGACGUAUUUCGGUAUGUAAAGCUCUUUCAGUACGGAAGAUAAUGACGGUACCUGUCUAAGAAGCACAGGCUAACUAGGUGCCAGCAGCCGCGGUAAUACGCAGGGGGCAACGGUUAUCCGGAUUUAUUGGGCGUAAAGGGGGCGUAGGUGGUAGGGUAAGUUAGAUGUGAAAUCCCGGGGUUCAACCUCGGGAGUGCAUUUGAAACUGUGCAGCUGGAGAGCAGUUGCGGUACGCAGAAUUUAUAGUGUAGCGGUGAAAUGCAUAGAGAUUAUACAGAACACCAGUGGCGAAGGCGGCUUACCGGGCUGUAACUGACGCUGAGGCACGAAAGCGUGGGGAGCAAACAGGAUUAGAUACCCCAGUAGUC
rnacentral:rRNA from 1 species